GAUGUCAAAAGACGGACCAGCGUUUCCGCAGGUUGUCGUGCGGAAGUAUCAGUUGCAAGUCAACCUCGGGGGAAGGGCUUGCGGGGGGACCCUCCGGACUGACGCAGCGCACUCUGCCGGGCCUCCUUUGCUGGUUCCUUCCUUACGAUGCCGCCCCCCUCCCCGGGGGGUGGCCAGCGCCCGCCAGAGGACCAUCAAACUCCAGUCAGUAAACGAUGCAGUCUGAAAAACAUUUAAUAAACUAAAACUUUCAACAACGGAUCUCUUGGUUCUGGCAUCGAUGAAGAACGCAGCGAAAUGCGAUAAGUAAUGUGAAUUGCAGAAUUCAGUGAAUCAUCGAAUCUUUGAACGCACAUUGCGCCCUUUGGUAUUCCGAAGGGCAUGCCUGUUCGAGCGUCAUUACAACCCUCAAGCUCUGCUUGGUAUUGGGCACCGUCCUUUGCGGGCGCGCCUCAAAGACCUCGGCGGUGGCGUCUUGCCUCAAGCGUAGUAGAACAUACAUCUCGCUUCGGAGCGCAGGGCGUCGCCCGCCGGACGAACCUUCUGAACUUUUCUCAAGGUUGACCUCGGAUCAGGUAGGGAUACCCGCUGAACUUAAGCAUAUCAAUAAGCGGAGGA
rnacentral:rRNA from 1 species